GGACAGUACAGGUGUGGUCUGGACAGACCUUUUUCACCAGACCCUUACCAGGAGUUUAGGAUCAUUGUCACAGAUGGUUCAACCACUUCUAAACCAAACUUGACUGUACCGGCUGUUUCAACAUCAGUCCCAUCAACCUUCACACCAACAACACAGCAGACAACAGCAACUACAGAUAUGUGGCUGUAUGUGGCACUGACUCUGGGUGUCCUGGUUGUGCUAUUAUCACUGGCUGUGUUGGUGUACUGCAGGAAUAAGUCUUCUAAACCCAAAGAUCCUCCUGUGGAAACAGAAUGCACCGUCACAGAAACCCACCGGGUGUACGAGGAUAUCAGAGAGGACAGACGGAGCAGAUCUCCUCCUGUGGAAAUAUCUCCAAUUUACACCAACGCCAAAUAUACCAAAACAAAUGGAGCUGAAACCAACAAUGAGUACAGCUGUGCCACAAUUGAAGACGACUCGAGUAACCUCAUCUACUCUGAGUUGAAUUUUUCCAACCGGACCGUUGACUCACCCAGCAGCGCCCUGCGUGGUGACAGUGAUAAUGUCGUGUACUCUGUGCCUCGGGUACAAGCGAGCUCUGAUAGCAGCCGUCCUGGAGAUGAUCCGCCUGUGUACUCGACUGUUCCUUAGCUCCAACGCUGCCGCCAACAGACAGCUGGUCUGAGUUCACUGUGUAAAUUAAUGAUGUUGUAGUUCUGUCCUCAGUGACAUAAAUACAGAUGUGCUGCCUCAUCAGUUUGCUUCAGGCUAGAGCUGCUUUAACUGAAUCUAUCUCAUUUUAAGUUAAUUUCAUUAUACAUUAUUAAAGUAGUAUCUCUGUAUCACAGUAAGUUAGUUUGGUUACGGGCAACACAAGUAAUGUUUUAGUUAGUAUUAUUAUGAGAGUGUUGGUUUGUUUAAGAUCAAUUUUUGGUAAAGUUAGCAGGUUAGCAUUGUUAGCAUUCAUUAGGGAUGACUAUUCUGGUUAAAGGUUCAGUUUUCUUUUAUUUAAAUUCAUACAUAAAUAGAAACAAAUAAAUAAAUAUGAAACAUAAUUUUCUGUGUGUCGGUAAACAGGUGUGAUGUCUCCAUCCAAGGACUUGUAACAUAACGCUGUCAUAACCUGGGAAAAAUCCUGCUUGUCCAACCUUAACUUACAUAAGUUUCAAAGAUAACAGAAGCUAAACUACUAAACUCAUGGCUGUGUCCAAUCUCAGACCUUGUAUCCUUGGGAAUCCUAACUGGACCUCCAAUGUACACGAGACUGCCUGUAAUGGCUUGGUGUAAUGGACAAUACUAAGUUAGCAAUGUGAAGUCAGCAGCUUUGUUUACACAGAACAAGGAAAUGUAUGCAUUUAAACCUGAACACACGCCGUUAUGUCAAGCAUGUGAUCUAAAAUGGAUUGUGGUAUUAUUGCGAUCACCAUGCUAAUGUCCGCGUUCAUGGUAAGUGUCAUUAUGUGUUAGUGUCGAGCUAACAGAUUAUGCAGCAUUUAUGUAUCUUUAAAAUCUGCCGUUCAGGUAGACGUGUUCUUGUCCUCUUCCCUGUUGUGUUUGGGUUCAGUCUUUGUUGUGUGGCCUGAGGCACAAAUUCAAUUUGUCUUCCCUGUUCAGCAGUUUCUUCUUCUUUUCUGCUGGAUUUUGCAACAGCUGCUUACAGGGAAGAGUGUCGACAUGUUCUCGAAAAUGUAUUUCUAAACAACCCGCAACUUUUUUUUGUUUUAUUUUUGACUUCGACAAAGUCAGAAGUUUCAUGUAAAUUAACUUCUAAUUCUAAUUUAUAAUUUUUAAUCCAUUAUCAAAUCAUUCAAAUUAGAGUUGCUCUGUAUUAUCUAUUAUUAUUAGUUGCUCUGUAUGGCAAACAUUGUUUGACCAGAAAAUGUUUCCCUGUUAGAUAGGAAAAUGUAAGAAUAUAAACAGAUAUAUCAAUAAUAAUAAUAAUAUUAAUAAUAACAAUAGAAUAAAUAAGGAAGAAUGCAUAACAUCUGUUGUGGCUCACUUAAGGGAAGUAAGUGUCCUUGCUUUUUACAGUAAGAAAGAGGAACCAGAUAUCUGAUGUAAUCGCGAGCUACAAGCUUUUGUUGUUUUAUGGAGAAAGUCCUCAGACUGAAUGUUGAAACAUGGACAGUGAGAGAUUUGGACAUAAAGCAGCACACACUGGAAUAAGAUUCAUGUGCCAAAACAGGUUAAAAAAGUCACCUCAUAUAUAUAUAUAGCUGCUGGACUGCAGCUGAUUUCCCUGAGCACAGGAAGACUGUCAGAUGGAAUAAUGUGCAUUAGCACAAGAAGUAGAGUAACAUUUAAUGGCCUCAUAUUUAGUAUUUUUCAUAUUCUGAUAUGAGCAUUUUCAGGUUGAAUAAAUACAGUUUUGAGAUGUUUAUUUUACAUUUUAUGAAAUUAUACAAAGAUACUGUAGAAUUUGUGUGUUUCUGUGUUUUAUAUCAUCACUUUUUAUUAUUAUCUAUCUUUGGAAAACACAUUGAGGGAGGACCAUCAGUCACUAUCGUGCCAAGGUACAAUCAUAAUAUUAAAAACAUAGAAACAUAAAAUAAGAGCACACGCACACAGAGGAACAUUUUGAAAAUCAGGUAAAAAGUGACAAGUUAGAUAAGUAGUGUCUACUCCCUCAGGCACCUCUCUAACACAAUAUUGUAUGGCAGACUACAUGACUACAGAUUUAUAGUGUUCACUAUAAACGUUUGGUGCAACCUGGGAUUGGAGGGUAAUGUGACUGAGGGUCACUGGGGUGCUCCCAUUGAAUCAUUACCCUGAUAAACAAAUUGAAAAAAAAGCAUUCUGAUCGCAGGUUAAUUUGACCCUUUUUAGAUAUACAGCGACCCCUGGUGGUUGUAGUGUUGGAGUAUAAGGGUCCAGAAUGAUGCUUCUAUUCAUUUUAUUUCUCAUUGUCAGACCUUCUACUAGAGAUCCUUUUAAAAACAACUUCCAUUUACGCUUAAUAAUUCAUUUACUAACCCUUUAAUAAACAUUCUACUCAAAGGAUACACAUUUGUUCUGCAAGGAGAAUAAUACAACAGGCCCAUUGUUUGCCUACUAUGCAAAGAGGCCGUAUGAUACUGAAGAAGUUUGUCUAUGUGCAACAAGAAGCUACCGUAUUUAAACAGCUUCAAGUCUGAAGCUUAGAAUAAACAAAGAGGAAACAAAAAUGUACAUAUUACUUAUGCUCAUCAUGGCUGCGUGAGGCAACUGUUUUACAUCUUCUAUAUAUGUUUACAGUCCACCUUUACCUUUUCAACCAACUGCAUUGAAAUAUUUUGUGGUAAUACUGCUGCUCUUACUAUCUUUACUUUUACACUUACAUAUUGUUCCUUUAAGUAAAGUAUUUACUACAUUAAAAAAUAUUAUAUGUCAGCAGACUUCAGGGAAACACGUUAAAUUGAAAUACGGUCUUCUCUGACAGUCUGUGUGUAUUCUCAUUUUAAAUUUACAUGCCAGUGCGGUACUUCUGUCCUGUAAUCAGAUGUUGUUUAGUGCAGGGUGGUGUGUCGCUGUGUGACCAUGAUUAUUUUCACUAAAAGUAACCAUUGUGAAACAAUCAGGAAAUAACAUUUUAUAUCUCUACAUUAUGCAACGAUGAUACUAAUCGUUAGCAUAGUUGCAGCCCUCAGAAUGUCUCAAACAGAUAUAGGUAAUAAUUAUUGCUCACCUUUGCCAAUUUUUAGGAACUUCCUUUAAGAUAUUGAAGAUGAAAUAAAAUUAUAUUAGAUGCUUUAUAUUCCAGUGUGUAACAUUUAGGAGGAUCUAUUGUCAGAAAUGGAAUAUAAUAUUUAUAACUAAUUCUUAGUGUAAAAUCACCUGAAUAACCUGAGUGUUUUUGUUAAACUGUGUAGUUUUAUGAGUAUAUCCUAAUUUUAAAAUGUAUGACAUUGUUACUAAUUGUAUUGCAGUAUUGGCAUUCUGACCCCAUUUUCUCUGUCAGGUUACCCCAAUAAUUACUGUCCCCUGUAAUCAUUAAACACUUCAAUCAAUAAAUAUAAACAACCUUGGGGGUGAGAGAAGGGCAGACAAUAUGUGACAUCAAUAAACAUUCAUGUUUUUGCAUUCAUUUGAAUGGCCAGGAUCAUUUAAAUUUAAGAGUUAUUAACAAUAGUUUUCACAUUUUUACACUGCAACAGAAAACUUGAACAUCACACUGUAUGUGGAAGCAGCCACAGCAACUACACAGUUAAUAACACUGAACUAAUGCAGAACAACUGCAAGGACAGUGAGGACACAGACACUUCAUAAAGGAGAAGAGCACACAAGUUAGUGUUGCUACAUGCAGAGUCCUGCACGUCCAGAAAUGGCACUAGAGGGAUACCUGCAGCAAAUCAAAGAAUCUUCUCUAAGUCAGCAAUCAGAAGCUGUUUGUAUCAAGUAUGCAUCAGUUCAAUAAGAAUUAAUGUGCAAGAAUAACACAGAUACUGAGCAGAUACAGAAAAACAACCAACUAAAACUAAACAUUUUAAACAUCAGAGCAACCACAGACAUUACUCACAGGAGAGGAGUGAGAUCAGGAGAGAGAGGGAGAGACUUCCUGGUGAAGUUUCACAAACAAAUGCAAAUUCUCUGUCAGUGACAGGACAGUAUUCAUCAAAAGCUGCUAGUCAGGUUCAUUCCCUACGUCCAGAUCUGCAAAACUAAAUCUAUUUCUGACUGGCUGUUUUUUGUGUAUGCAAAAACGGAACUUGGUACUACAGAAAGGUGAAUGAAAACCCCUCAGUAAGACGAUAGAAUAGCUUCUCUUGGUGCAGUGUACGUUAUUGCAUACCUACUGUACAUAUAAACAGCAAUGAACAGCUUGUACACAUGGGUUUCCUCCCACAGUCACACACAAACAAACACUUUUCUGCUUUAAGCUCCUGUUUAAAUUCAACAUAAAUAUUCCAUGACGUCAUGCCUCUGAGCUCACAUUGCCACUCUUUUAGCCUCUGAUCAUCGGGUAGUUUUAACCAGUUCAUGUUGUUGAGCCAGAGACCUGCACUACCUGCUUAACUUGCAGGACCCACGGCGACGCAUCUCCACCUGUGUAAUACAGGUGGAAAUCUGUCGCCAUGGAAAAGCAGUUUAUUUAUGAAGCACGUUUCAUACACAAAGGUGCUGUAAAGUGUAGUUAAAAACAAGACAGCUCAAAGUUAGAACAACACAAUUCAAAUUGAAAUACAACAGAAUUACCGAUUCAAAAGCAUGAUAAUAUUAAUAGAGCGUUUUCAGUCUGGAUUUUAGAACUGUAAUGGUUGUGAUGUUCCUAAGACCAUCAGGUACCACUAGCAGUCCACUCCGCAGAGACCUCAGAGGUCUUGCAGGGUCAUACAACUCAAGCACAUUAGCUAUGUAUUCCAUGUAAAGAUUUAUUAUUAAGUGAUAAAACUUAGUGGCAACCAAUGGAGAUUUAAGAACUGUGUUGAUGAACAAACACAGCAUUAUACAGUAUAUUCAAAUUUGAUAGGCAAAUAAUUGUUGCCUUGCACAAAUUUGCAUUAAGUCAAAAAAUACUGAAGCACUUUAAGCUUGAUACACACACAUACCUUUAGAAUAAACAGAGAGCCAACAGAGAUGGACAUAGUUCUUCUGCUCAUUAUCACUGCAUCAG
rnacentral:lncRNA from 15 species